GGCCUGGUGGUGUAGUGGGAACACGUCCUCUUAGUAUAGCUUGGUGAAUGUGAUGUUAUGAGAAAGUCCUCUAUUCAACUCGGGGUCAGGCUG